rnacentral:rRNA from 1 species
GACGAACGCUGGCGGCGUGCCUAAUACAUGCAAGUAGAACGCUGAAGGAGGAGCUUGCUCUUCUGGAUGAGUUGCGAACGGGUGAGUAACGCGUAGGUAACCUGCCUGGUAGCGGGGGAUAACUAUUGGAAACGAUAGCUAAUACCGCAUAAGAGUAGAUGUUGCAUGACAUUUACUUAAAAGGUGCAAUUGCAUCACUACCAGAUGGACCUGCGUUGUAUUAGCUAGUUGGUGGGGUAACGGCUUACCAAGGCGACGAUACAUAGCCGACCUGAGAGGGGGAUCGGCCACACUGGGAAUGGGACACGGCCCAGAAUCCUACGGGAGGCAGCAGUAGGGAAUCUUCGGCAAUGGACGGAAGGCUGACCGAGCAACGCCGCGUGAGUGAAGAAGGUUUUCGGAUCGUAAAGCUCUGUUGUAAGAGAAGAACGAGUGUGAGAGUGGAAAGUUCACACUGUGACGGUAUCUUACCAGAAAGGGACGGCUAACUACGUG